rnacentral:rRNA from 1 species
GAUCAUGGCUCAGAAUCAACCGCUGGCGNUAUGCCUAACACAUGCAAGUCGAACGAGAAAGUGAAGCUUGCUUCACGAGUACAGUGGCAGACGGGUGGGUAACACGUGAACAACCUGCCCUUGAGUGGGGAAUAACACCGCGAAAGCGGUGCUAAAGCCGCAUAACAUCUUCGGAUCGCAUGAUCUGAAGAUCAAAGGCGAAAGCUGCUUGAGGAGGGGUUCGCGCCUGAUUAGCUUGUUGGUGAGGUAACGGCUCACCAAGGCUUCGAUCAGUAGCCGGCCUGAGAGGGUGAACGGCCACACUGGAACUGAGACACGGUCCAGACUCCUACGGGAGGCAGCAGUGGGGAAUUUUGCGCAAUGGGCGAAAGCCUGACGCAGCAACGCCGCGUGGAGGAUGAAGGCCCUCGGGUCGUAAACUCCUGUCAGAGGGGACGAAAGCUUCGGUUUGACUGUACCCUCUAAGGAAGCCACGGCUAACUCCGUGCCAGCAGCCGCGGUAAU